rnacentral:lncRNA from 1 species
UGCAGGCUCUUUUAGCAGCACACCCUUGAGAAUGACAAUUUAGGCUUAGAGUGAAACAGCACCAAAGACAGCAGGUCCACUUGCACAGUUCCAUUCUCAGGCGCUCCAGAGUGAACAGGAUGGAUGAACAACCCAUGUGCCAGGCUCUCCUCAUUGCUCCUUCUGCUAUGGGUUAACCAACAGCUCACAGAAUGUCUGGAAGGUGAAGUCCUAGCUAAGAGACAGCAGUAGAAACCCACCUAGAG